rnacentral:rRNA from 1 species
GACGAACGCUGGCGGCGUGCCUAACACAUGCAAGUCGAGCGAAUGAAGUUCCUUCGGGAAUGGAUUUAGCGGCGGACGGGUGAGUAACACGUGGGCAACCUGCCUCAUAGAGGGGAAUAGCCUCCCGAAAGGGAGAUUAAUACCGCAUAAGAUUGUAGUACCUCAUGAUACAGCAAUUAAAGGAGCAAUCCGCUAUGAGAUGGGCCCGCGGCGCAUUAGCUAGUUGGUGAGGUAGUGGCUCACCAAGGCGACGAUGCGUAGCCGACCUGAGAGGGUGAUCGGCCACAUUGGGACUGAGACACGGCCCAGACUCCUACGGGAGGCAGCAGUGGGGAAUAUUGCACAAUGGGGGAAACCCUGAUGCAGCAACGCCGCGUGAGUGAUGACGGCCUUCGGGUUGUAAAGCUCUGUCUUCAGGGACGAUAAUGACGGUACCUGAGGAGGAAGCCACGGCUAACUACGUG